GUCUUGGUCGCUUAGUGGUUAAAGCAUCUCGUUGUGGCACAAUUUACGCAGCUCCGAGAAGCCGAGGGCUCGACUCCCUCCCGAGACA